rnacentral:rRNA from 1 species
AUUCCAGCUCCAAUAGCGUAUAUUAAAGUUGUUGCGGUUAAAAAGCUCGUAGUUGGAUUUCUGCCAAAGUCAGCCGACCCCUUCGGGGCGUCAGGCAGACUGCGGCUUUUCUUGGUGAACGUGUUGGCACUUGAUUGUGCUGUACGUACUCCAGGGCAUUUACUUUGAGGAAAUUAGAGUGUUUCAAGCAGGCAUCUGCCUUGAAUACAUUAGCAUGGAAUAAUAGGAUAGGACUUCGGUUCUAUUUUGUUGGUUUCUAGAACUGAGGUAAUGAUUAAUAGGGAUAGUCGGGGGCAUUCGUACUUAACUGUCAGAGGUGGAAUUCUUGGAUUUGUUAAAGACGAACUACUGCGAAAGCAUUUGCCAAGGAUGUUUUCAUCA